rnacentral:rRNA from 1 species
AGAGUUUGAUCCUGGCUCAGAUUGAACGCUGGCGGCAUGCUUUACACAUGCAAGUCGAACGGCAGCAUAGAGAGCUUGCUCUCUGAUGGCGAGUGGCGAACGGGUGAGUAAUACAUCGGAACGUGUCCGUUUGUGGGGGACAACCACCCGAAAGGGUGGCUAAUACCGCAUAAGACCUGAGGGUGAAAGCCGGGGACCGCAAGGCCUGGCGCGAACGGAGCGGCCGAUGACUGAUUAGCUGGUUGGCGGGGUAAAGGCCCACCAAGGCGACGAUCAGUAGCUGGUCUGAGAGGACGACCAGCCACACUGGAACUGAGACACGGUCCAGACUCCUACGGGAGGCAGCAGUGGGGAAUUUUGGACAAUGGGGGCAACCCUGAUCCAGCCAUGCCGCGUGCGGGAAGAAGGCCUUCGGGUUGUAAACCGCUUUUGUCAGGGACGAAAAGGUGCGGGUUAAGAGCUAGCACUGAUGACGGUACCUGAAGAAUAAGCACCGGCUAACUACGUGCCAGCAGCCGCGGUAAUACGUAGGGUGCGAGCGUUAAUCGGAAUUACUGGGCGUAAAGCGUGCGCAGGCGGUUGGGUAAGACAGAUGUGAAAUCCCCGGGCUUAACCUGGGAACUGCAUUUGUGACUGUCCGACUGGAGUAUGUCAGAGGGGGGUGGAAUUCCAAGUGUAGCAGUGAAAUGCGUAGAUAUUUGGAAGAACACCGAUGGCGAAGGCAGCCCCCUGGGGCAAAACUGACGCUCAUGCACGAAAGCGUGGGGAGCAAACAGGAUUAGAUACCCUGGUAGUCCACGCCCUAAACGAUGUCUACUGGUUGUUGGAGGGUAAAACCUUCAGUAACGAAGCUAACGCGUGAAGUAGACCGCCUGGGGAGUACGGUCGCAAGAUUAAAACUCAAAGGAAUUGACGGGGACCCGCACAAGCGGUGGAUGAUGUGGAUUAAUUCGAUGCAACGCGAAAAACCUUACCUAGCCUUGACAUGUCAGGAACGCUCCGGAGAUGGGGCGGUGCCCGCAAGGGAACCUGAGCACAGGUGCUGCAUGGCUGUCGUCAGCUCGUGUCGUGAGAUGUUGGGUUAAGUCCCGCAACGAGCGCAACCCUUGUUUUAUGUUACCAAUAUUAAGUUAGGGACUCAUAAGAGACUGCCGGUGACAAACCGGAGGAAGGUGGGGAUGACGUCAAAUCAUCAUGCCCCUUAUGGCUUGGGCUACACACGUACUACAAUGGCAGUUACAAAGGGCAGCGACCUAGUGAUAGGGAGCGAAACUCGGAAAGGCUGUCUCAGUUCGGAUUGAAGUCUGCAACUCGACUUCAUGAAGUCGGAAUCGCUAGUAAUCGCGAAUCAGCAUGUCGCGGUGAAUACGUUCUCGGGCCUUGUACACACCGCCCGUCAAACCAUGGGAGUUGGCAAUACCCGAAGCCGGUGGCAUAACCGAAAGGAGUGAGCCGUCGAAGGUAGGGCCGAUGACUGGGGUUAAGUCGUAACAAGGUA